rnacentral:misc_RNA from 1 species
CAGAGUUGCAAAACUCCCUAAACCACUGUGAACCUUACCUUCUACCGUUGCUUCGGCGGGCGGGCCACAGCGCCCCCCGGGCCCCUCGGGGGCGCCCGCCGGAGGAUAACCAAACCCUUGAUAUUCAUGGCCUCUCUGAGUCUUCUGUACUGAAUAAGUCA